CAUCCUGAACUGCACGGUGUGAAGGUUUGUGAUUUUGUAUCUCCUCCACUCGACAGCUCCACUCCAAAACAGGCCAUACAUCAAGAAGCC